AUAUUAAAGAAAAAGGGGAAGAUAAAAAGCCACACACACACUUCAGUUUGUUUGUAGGCUGCUCUUUAACAGAAGGCCAAGAAGAGAAUCACAUUUUCACCGUGGGAAGAGACUUUUGCUGCAGGGUUUUCCUUGGGAACUCCCAAUGAUUUCUGUUUCCCAGGACUCACGAUUACAGGAUGCAAUUUACAUGAAUACUUUCUGAAAUAUGGUUUAGGCAAAACAGUUAAGCAGAUGAUCAUGGCCUACAGAAAAGGAUUCCAGACGUGUUACUAGCCCUGUGCUGAAUCUCAUGUCUGUGCUCUGAUGUACACCUCUAACAGAGGCUCUACACCUAGACAAAGCUCCUGAAAACAACCACAAAAAGCUCACAGAUCUAAAUGGGAAUUGAGCUCUUCUUGUUCUGCAAUGGUUAGAUGUCAUACUGAGGGACUUGGUUUAGUGGGAAAUAUUGGUGAUAUGUGGAUGGUUGGACAGGAUGAUCUUGGAGGUCUCUUCCAACCUUGGUGAUUCUGUGAUUCUACAUGCUUACAAGAGAGCUCAGAGUCCUAAGUUGUAUCCUUGCUUUUGAAAGACUUGCUUUAAAGAGGAGAAAGGCUGAUCCCAACAUCUGUGUGACACUACAAUCAAGUACCUACAUCAAAGGACAAACAAGGAUUCUAUUCUUCCUGCAUAGCUAAGGGAGAUGGUAAGAGCGAGAGGCACUAUUCAUGGUUCCUAACUUUAUGGAUAUUGUACGGUGUUAUUUUGGCACAUCAACCAACGCUGAGCAAUCUCCACAGGAUGCAAUGGAAAAUAACAGUCAAGACUGGAAGGGUGAUGGAGAAGUCAGAUUUCAGAUUCUAUCAGCACUGUGAAAUAGGUGCACUCCAACUAGACAGACCUGUGAUUGGAGCCUGUGGUCUGCUCCAGCUAA